rnacentral:rRNA from 1 species
CCUACGGGUGGCAGCAGUGAGGAAUAUUGGUCAAUGGACGCAAGUCUGAACCAGCCAUGCCGCGUGCAGGAUGACGGCUCUAUGAGUUGUAAACCUCUUUUGUCGGGGAGCAAAAGCCGGACGUUUCCGGCUGUGAGAGUACACGAAGAAAAAGCAUCGGCUCACUCCGUGCCAGCAGCCGCGGUAAUACGGAGGAUGCGCGCGUUAUCCGGAUUUAUUGGGUUUAAAGGGUGAGCAGGCGGAAUUUUAAGUCAGCGGUAAAAUCGUGGGGCUCAACCCCAUCGAGCCGUUGAAACUGGGGAUCUAGAGUGGGCGAGAGGUAUGCGGAAUGCGUGGUGUAGCGGUGAAAUGCAUAGAUAUCACGCAGAACCCCGAUUGCGAAGGCAGCAUACCGGUGCACAACUGACGCUCAGGCACGAAAGCGUGGGUAUCGAACAGGAUUAGAUACCCGGGUAGUC